CCUUGCCCGUAGCCAUGACCUCCAUACUAAGAGAGGCAUCAGCACUUGUUUGACCUGGAAGAAUGCCGACCUUCUUUUCCUCUUGGUCACACACACUCAUUAUGCGGGACAUGGAUUAAGCUGGAAACUAUCGUUCUCAGCAAACUGACAUAAGAACAGAAAAUGAAACACCUCAUCUUCUCAUCUACUAAAGGGUGAGGAUCAAAAGGAACAAGUGGUACCCUGGAAAAAGAUGGAACAAUGCUGUGUAACUUUCUGGCCUAACCUGGCUGAUCACAAAGGCACGAGACAGACAGGGGAGCCGUGUGGCCACAUCUGACAUCAGUCUCAACAGUUUCCCACAUUUGUGGCACAUAGUGAAGGGCAUCUCUACUCCAACGAUAAAAAAUCAAAAGGCCUUUCAUGUGUUUGCACAUUCAGGUUAGUGAGUAAUGAGAAAUGACGCCGGGAAUGACGGACGCGCGGCUGGAAGCCCGGACGUCUGGGGUGUCGCCUGUUUGUCUGAAUAGCCUACGUCUUUCUGCCCACCGAGAUCUCAGUGGGGCUGAGUGACUGAGCCUUCAGGCUUAGUAUUUCCCUGCCUCCUUUGUGUAUUUCAACUUCUUUGACGUCAAGAAUUUUCUCUUUUGCACAGCUUUGCUUCUUUCCAGGAACUGAAUGGUACGUGGAUGACUCACAAAAGUCUUUAGACAAGAGGAGGACAAUGGAGACCCUUGUUCGUCGCCAGAAGUACCUGCAGAGCCUUAGCUUUGCUGGAAACAUGACCUAUAACUGCUCUGACUUUUGGACCCCAGAAACACUUGAAAGCUCAGCUGCCUUAUUGCUGUGUGUUCACCUUAUCACAGAGCCUCGGAGCCUGGGAAAUAAAGGCACAGACUCUCUUUAG